AACAGGAUUAGAUACCCUGGUAGUCCACGCCCUAAACGAUGUCAACUGGUUGUUGGGAGGGUUUCUUCUCAGUAACGUAGCUAACGCGUGAAGUUGACCGCCUGGGGAGUACGGCCGCAAGGUUGAAACUCAAAGGAAUUGACGGGGACCCGCACAAGCGGUGGAUGAUGUGGUUUAAUUCGAUGCAACGCGAAAAACCUUACCUACCCUUGACAUGCCAGGAAUCUUGCAGAGAUGUGAGAGUGCUCGAAAGAGAACCUGGACACAGGUGCUGCAUGGCCGUCGUCAGCUCGUGUCGUGAGAUGUUGGGUUAAGUCCCGCAACGAGCGCAACCCUUGUCAUUAGUUGCUACGAAAGGGCACUCUAAUGAGACUGCCGGUGACAAACCGGAGGAAGGUGGGGAUGACGUCAGGUCAUCAUGGCCCUUAUGGGUAGGGCUACACACGUCAUACAAUGGCCGGGACAGAGGGCUGCCAACCCGCGAGGGGGAGCUAAUCCCAGAAACCCGGUCGUAGUCCGGAUCGCAGUCUGCAACUCGACUGCGUGAAGUCGGAAUCGCCAGUAAUCGCGGAUCAGCUUGCCGCGGUGAAUACGUUCCCGGGUCUUGUACACACCGCCCGUCACACCAUGGGAGCGGGUUCUGCCAGAAGUAGUUAGCCUAACCGCAAGGAGGGCGAUUACCACGGCAGGGUUCGUGACUGGGGUGAAGUCGUAACAAGGUAACC
rnacentral:rRNA from 1 species